rnacentral:rRNA from 1 species
CACGUAGGGGGCAAGCGUUGUCCGGAUUUAUUGGGCGUAAAGAGCGUGUAGGCGGCUUGGCAAGUCUGCUGUGAAAACUCGAGGCUCAACCUCGAGCUGUCGGUGGAAACUGCCUGGCUAGAGUCCGGAAGAGGAGAGUGGAAUUCCUGGUGUAGCGGUGAAAUGCGCAGAUAUCAGGAGGAACACCAAUGGCGAGGGCAGCUCGCUGGGACGUGACUGACGCUGAGACGCGAAAGCGUGGGGAGCAAACAGG